UACGAAGGGGGCUAGCGUUGUUCGGAUUUACUGGGCGUAAAGCGCACGUAGGCGGAUCGCUAAGUCAGGGGUGAAAUCCUGGAGCUCAACUCCAGAACUGCCUUUGAUACUGGCGAUCUUGAGUCCGGAAGAGGUGAGUGGAACUCCUAGUGUAGAGGUGGAAUUCGUAGAUAUUAGGAAGAACACCAGUGGCGAAGGCGAGUCCCUGGACAACUUCUGACGCUGAGGCACGGAAAAGCUAGG
rnacentral:rRNA from 1 species